GACGAACGCUGGCGGCGUGCUUAACACAUGCAAGUCGAACGGAAAGACCCUGCUUUUGUGGGGUGCUCGAGUGGCGAACGGGUGAGUAGCACGUGAGUAACCUGCGCUUGACUUUGGGAUAACUUCAGGAAACUGGGGCUAAUACCGGAUAGGAGCUCCUGCUGCAGGGGGGGGGUUGGAAAGUUUCGGCGGUUGGGGAUGGACUCGCGGCUUAUCAGCUUGUUGGUGGGGUAGUGGCUUACCAAGGCUUUGACGGGUAGCCGGCCUGAGAGGGUGACCGGCCUCAUUGGGACUGAGAUACGGCCCAGACUCCUACGGGAGGCAGCAGUGGGGAAUAUUGCCCAAUGGGCGGAAGCCUGAUGCAGCAGCGCCGCGUGCGGGAUGACGGCCUUCGGGUUGUAAACCGCUUUCGCCUGUGACGAAGCGUGAGUGACGGUAAUGGGUAAAGAAGCACCGGCUAACUACGUG
rnacentral:rRNA from 1 species